UAUACUGGGGUUUCGUCUUUCACUCCUGGUGGCUUUAUAAUGGUGGCUUAUACUGUUGGCUUUAUACUGGUGGGCUUUAUACUGGUGGCUUUAUACUGGUGGCUUUCAUCUUCAAUACUGGUCGGCUUUCAUCUUCAAUUACUGGUGGCUUUUAUACUGGUGGCUUUUCAUUCUUCAAUACUGGUGGUAAACUGGUGCUUCAUCUUUCAUACUGGUGGUUUUCAUCUUCAAUACUGGUGGCUUUAUACUGGUGGCUUUCAUCUUCAAUACUGGUGGCUUUAUACUGGUGGCUUUCAUCUUCAAUUCUGGUGGCUUUCAUCUUCAAUACUGGAUGGUUUUCAUCUUCAAUACUGGUGGCUUUAUACUGGUGGCUUUAUACUGGUGGUUUUCAUCUUCAAUACUGGUGGCUUUCAUCUUCCAUUGUACUCUUAAUAGGGAACACUCACUUUGACCAAAUUAUUUUUGACAGACAGAUAAGCAGAUCGUUACAAACAUAUAACCUGAGGGACUGUCUGUUUCUAUUCUGUAUAUCAGGUUCCAAAGGCAUGUGAUGUUGUUUAGUGUUCGGGAUGAUUAGUCCUACUUUAUCUCUCUCCAGCCCUUGAUGAUCAGUGAAGGCUAUUUAACCUCUCACUCUACAAGGUCACUGAGUCUGAACCAGCCAGUCAUCUACAUUCAUAUCCUGUGUUUUAUCACCCUACGAGCCAGGACACAGCCUGAGAUUCUCUGGCAGGCCACUGUUGACCAAUUCAAAGUCUAGGUUGAAAACUAAAGGAGAUCGGGCAUUUGCCCGAGACUUUGGAAUGGUCUGCCAGAGGACAUCAGGCUUAUAGAUUCAGUGCCUCUUUUUAAAUCCCUUACCGAAGACACACUUUUGUAAAGAUGCUUAGUGAUUUUAUUUUACGCUGUGAAGCAUGUUACUUGUAUCGAAAAGCGCUAUACAAAUAAAGUUAUAAUUAUAUUAAACCCCACUAAUCCCUCAAUCCGCACUGCAUCCGUUCCUUCCUGCUGUUCUACCCUGGCCCUAGGAAGCAGGUGAUGAAUCCGUUUUUUUAGUCAUCAAGUACGUAACAAGCAAUCAUUUCUAAAUUGGCCAAGUGGGAGAGGCUAGUGUAUGACGGCAGGGUAUCAUCUGUCUCGGAAGCAGAGAAAUUAAAUGAAGACCUGAUUUUAGAAUUGAUUUAAUAAUUUUCAACAAAGAUAAAUGUUAAUUAUCAGACGAAUGAAACAAACUUAAAAAUUUUUUUUUUUAAAGAAAUGCUUUGUUUCUGUGGAUCCUAACGUAUCUUCUUAGUGAUGUUUUAUUAAGGACUGGUUUUCUGUCUGUGUGGUUAAAGUUAUGGUCCUACAUUUUCCUCCUGGACUUUCUUAUUGUUAGUGAAGUGAGUUUAAAGAGACAGUUGACUUUGAGAUAUUUCCAAUUGAGCCGAAAUAUGCAGCUAUUACCGUGAAUGCAGUGUCCGCGAACACGUCAUGGAUUGAAACUAGGGACUCUAUUCAGUCAUGGAAGUUCAGCGUUACAACCUAAUUUAAAGGCAAUGUUCCCGCUUUAGCGGAGACCGCAUUCACGGUAAACGUUGCACAUGCCAGCUCAAUGGGAAAGGAUCUUAAAAUGUAUAUCGCAGAAUCUGUAACGCUUCAGCGAUCCAGACCGAAUAGCUGAAUGUUGUGAACUAAUUGAAAGCAUUCAGGUGAAUGUGUAAUACGUUGAAUGACUUUUUUUUUCUGACAUUAUUGAUUGAGAAUGAGUCCUGUACCAUAUUGUUGCUAUAUCAAUCAGAAAAGGAUAUUAUGUGUUUCGUGAAAAAAAAAACUGUUUGUACAGUAGCCUAUAUGUGGUACGUUUCUAUGGAGAUAUUCCUAUUCCUUUUGUCUCAGACAAACCCUAAGAGGUUUUGUAUUGUGUGUGUAUGUAAUGUUGUGGCAUUCAGAGUUCCAUUCUAACACAGGUUGUGGUAUAGCACUGUCAAUUUCAAUGAGAGCACUGUCAAUUUCAAUGAGAGCACUGUCAAUUUCAAUGAGAGCACUGUCAAUUUCAAUGAGAGCACUGUCAA
rnacentral:lncRNA from 1 species